UUUUUGGCAUGGUUACGAUAGGUGGCACUAUCGUGCGUCCAUGUUAGUGGAUAUUUCAACCCACGAAGAGUAACGGCUGCGAGAGUCCACAGAGGGCUCCACCCAUAGAGGGUCCACAAAGAAGCGGCCUUGUCUAUUCCACCACGGCUUCCGCGCACGGAGGACUAGAAUUACUCACGGUAGAUCUUCACGAAGUAGGCGAUCUCCUUGCCC
rnacentral:lncRNA from 1 species